rnacentral:rRNA from 1 species
AGAAUCCUUCGGGAGGAAGACCAUUGUGACUGAGUGGCGGACGGGUGAGUAACGCGUGGGUAACCUGCCUUGUACAGGGGGAUAACAGUUAGAAAUAGCUGCUAAUACCGCAUAAGCGCACGGUUCCGCAUGGAACAGUGUGAAAAACUCCGGUGGUACGAGAUGGACCCGCGUCUGAUUAGCUGGUUGGUGAGGUAACGGCUCACCAAGGCGACGAUCAGUAGCCGGCCUGAGAGGGUGAACGGCCACAUUGGGACUGAGACACGGCCCAAACUCC